rnacentral:rRNA from 1 species
GACGAACGCUGGCGGCGUGCCUAAUACAUGCAAGUCGAACGAGAGCAACUGGUGCUUGCACUGGUCAAUCUAGUGGCGAACGGGUGAGUAACACGUGGGUAACCUGCCCAUCAGAGGGGGAUAACAUCCGGAAACGGAUGCUAAAACCGCAUAGGUCUUCGAACCGCAUGGUUUGAAGAGGAAAAGAGGCGCAAGCUUCUGCUGAUGGAUGGACCCGCGGUGCAUUAGCUAGUUGGUGAGGUAACGGCUCACCAAGGCCGUGAUGCAUAGCCGACCUGAGAGGGUGAUCGGCCACAUUGGGACUGAGACACGGCCCAAACUCCUACGGGAGGCAGCAGUAGGGAAUCUUCCGCAAUGGACGCAAGUCUGGCGGAGCAACGCCGCGUGAGUGAAGAAGGUUUUCGGAUCGUAAAACUCUGUUGUUAGAGAAGAACAAGUGCUAGAGUAACUGUUAGCGACUUGACGGUAUCUAACCAGAAAGCCACGGCUAACUACGUG